UAAAGACACAUACUCAGGGGUGGUGUCGCUGAAUCAUACAAUAGUUCCACUUUCAUUUUUGAGGAUGCCCACACCAACUUUCAUACCAGCUGCGGCCACUGGCAUUCCUGUCACCAGUGAAUAAAGAUCCCCUUUCCCAUAUCCUCACCAGCAUUUGUUGUCAUUUCCCGUCUCAAUGGCAGCAAGUCUGGGUGGGAUGGGACCUCAGAGAAGCUGCCAUUGGCAUUUCCCAGAAGGCUAAGGAUGUGGACCGCCUCCUCAAAUAUUCAUUGGCCAUUUGUAUUUCUUCCCUGAAAACCAACUGUCCACUGGCCUAAAAUAAUAUAAAUGACCUUUUCUGGGAAGGACAUCUCAUCUGAAACAAAUGACCUCUUAAAGGCAAGACCCACUGUAUGUUAAGUUCUCAGCCAAGGCUGAGACCAAAGGAAAACUGCUCAGCACCUGGUUUUGCUUGCUCAGGAGGAAGCUGUGGCUUCAAGGAAGAGCUCUGGUCACGUUCUUCACCCUUACAAAGCUCUAGAGGGGAAGCUGAUUGACUGUGCUCCAUCUCCGCUGAAUUCCAGAGCUAUCCAGUGUGUCUUCAUGAACUUAACCUCCAGCCCUGUCUGCCCUGUUUCCCACAACAGCACCUAGGUAGGACACAUCAUGGCGAAUGUUGGAAAGUUUUUCACAAAAGAGCAAACUAUUGGGGGUAGGAAUUUAGGCAGCAGAGAAUGAGGAGGAAGGAGCGUGGGGUUGGCAAAGUAGAGUCUGGCCAAUAAAGAACAACAUAUGAACUGA